rnacentral:snRNA from 1 species
AGCGUGCUCCGGGCGUCGGCCUGUGGGCUC